rnacentral:piRNA from 1 species
UCCCAGGUCUACUGUUAGAGUAAAACCCGU